UCUAUGCCCAGCUGGCCUCGUACAACCGUACCUGCGCGCAGACAAACAAACAACACCAACAGAGCAACAACCAGCAACGAAAAAGAAAAAGAAAAUAGAAAACGAAAACAUGGCAAUAACAGAUUUUUUUAUUGUUAUUUAUUUUGGUAAUCUUGGCUAUAAAAAGCCAAUAUAAGCGCUGUAAACGGACUUUUUUUUCUACACACAUAUGGAAUACAAAAAAGAAAUCAAAAUUGAAAUGAGGUGAUUUGAUUUUCUUUCUUCUUUUUUUCUGCAUCUUUAGUUUUUUUGUUUCAAUUUUUCUUUUCUGUUCUUCCAUUUUUAAUCAUAUACAUAUACAUAUAUAUAAAAAAAAGAGUUAAAGGAGGAGUCGUUACCUGGCUUUACUCGCUCCGUCGCCAUCGGAGAUUGGGCAAAGAUCGGAGGCCCUAGAGCGGCCUGGUUGUGGCGGCGGCCUGGGGAACUGGGUUCAAAACCCUAGCAGAGGAGAAAAAGGGGCGGUCUCCCUCUGGCCUGGACUUGGGGCUGAAACAUUUUGUUUCAGAUUUUGGGGUGCUUAAGUAGAUGUAUAAAACGACGCCGUUUGAGGCUGGUUUUGAUAGCUUCAAAACGGCACUGUUGGCCGUUCAGUGACCAUGACCCGCGCGGACCUGACCCGGGGAAGGAUCCGCGUGUUUUUGCCUCAGUGGGAUAUUUGCGCAAAUGGUCCUCCUGCUACUAUAGCAUAUUCGAAUCAACCCUUUUAUUUCUUUUAAAUUUGGCCAGACAUUUUAUUUUUGUUUCAUUUUAGUCCAGUUUGGACGCUGCGUUUCGAGGGUGCAGAAUUAUUUCCCUUUUGGUCCCUCAUAUUACGCGCGUGUUACCAUUCGACCCUCUAACUCUACCUAAUUUUGUUUUCUUCCCUUUAACUUUUGUUUUGACUUCAAUUUAGUUUUUAUUAGUUUAAUAUGCGCAAUCUUCUUUAAAUUUCAUUUAAAUACUUAUGGUCACAUUAUUUUCUUUACAUGUUUAAUUCUUUUUUAAAUUAUAUAUCAUUUUAAUAGCGCAC
rnacentral:lncRNA from 1 species